rnacentral:rRNA from 1 species
AUGGAGCUUUAGACACACAGGUGGACCAUGUCAAGUACCCCCGGCUAAGGGCCCGAACUAAAUGGAACCUGCCUUGAUGUCUUCGGUUGGGGCGACCAUGGGGAAUACAAAACCCCCACGUGGAAAGGGAGCACACCCCUAAGUUACUUCUUCUCCCGCAAGCCAGAGCAACAGCUCUAACCAGCAGAAAUUCUGACCAAACUGAUCCGGUAAAACCGAUCAACGAACCA